AUUAUUUUUCAGUGGCAGUAUCGUAGCCAAUGAGGUUUAUCCGAGGCGCGAUUAUUGCUAAUUGAAAACUUUUCACAUAUAUUAUUUUUAAUUUUUCAGUAGUCACAUUAAAGAAGCUUAAAAAAUGGUGAGAUUAAUUUUAAAAUC